CUUAGAAUAUUUUAUACAUGAAAAGGUUAUGAUGAUCAUUUUUCUAGGUGGGUCUAAAUAAUAUGAGUAUGUUCAAUUGUCCAAAUUACUAAAAACAACACAAUAUCAUAGAAUGAUGUACAACCAUGCUUCCAGUACAUUGUAUGUGGUUAUCAUUUUUAUUUUUGGAAAACAAUACAUAAAGCAAUAUAGUUAUAAAACACUAAGCAUCAUUAAACUUGUUAUAGAAAUGAAAUUUUCUUUGCUUCUCAAAAUUUAACAAAGUAUUUUUCCAUACAAUUUUAUUCAGCAUAGUGGAAUUACAGUUGGUUAUCUGAAG